rnacentral:rRNA from 1 species
AUGGAUCCCCUCCGCCUACUCCUCCCCCGCGCCCAGGCCCAGCCCUUGCUUCCGCUCCCCGAUGGCGUCCCAGCGCCGAGCGUUAGGCCCCGCCUCGUCCCGCGGCGACGGGCGCGCCGCCACCGCAACGGGGCCGCGCGGAUGCUGCCGGCGUCGGCCGUGGCGUCCGAGUCGCCGUGGACGGAGCAGGAGCCGGCAUCCGGGGAGAAGGAGGAGCGGUUCAACUGGCUGGACCAGUGGUACCCCUUCGCCCCCGUGGAGGACCUGGACCCCGGCGCGCCGCGCGGCAAGAUGGUGCUGGGGAUCCGUGUGGUGGCCUGGUACGACCGCGGCGCCGGCGAGUGGCGCGUGUUCGACGACGCGUGCCCGCACCGCCUGGCGCCGCUCUCGGAGGGCCGCAUCGACGACAAGGGCCGGCUCCAGUGCGUGUACCACGAGUGGUGCUUCGACGGCCGCGGCGCCUGCAAGUUCAUCCCCCAGGCCCCCGCGCUCGGCCCGCCAGUGCACACCAACAGGAAGGCAUGCGUUGCGUCCUACCCGUGCGUGGUGCAGAACAGAUCCUGUGGUUCUACCCGCGCGCCGGGCCGGAGCACAGGGACAUACGCGCUGCGUAUCAAACGCGAAGGUAAAAGCCUUUUUCGCCCUUCUCACGUGCCCUACGCGCACAAAGGCUUGCUCCUGGCCUCCCCCGGCUUAGUGGAGUACGACAAAGAAGGCGGUGUGCCGAUGGCGGUGAAGGUGGAGGAUUCGAGCGUGAACGGGUUCGCGUCGUCGCAGGGCCCCGGCUACUCCAACUUCGUCGCGCCUUGCACGUACUACGGAUCGCCGGCCUCCAAGAAAUCAGAGAAGAACAAGCCUCACAUCAUGCUGGUGUUCAUCAUCGUCCCGGUCGCUCCGGGGAGGAGCAGGGUGAUGUGGGCCUUCCCGAGGAACUUCGGCCUCUGGCUGCACAAGAUCACGCCGCGGUGGUUCGACCACAUCGGCGUCAACGCCAUCUUGGAUUCCGACAUGUAUCUCCUCCACAUCGAGGAGCGCAAUUUCGCUAAGGCGGGCAUCGAGAACUGGCAGAAGAGCGUGUACGUGCCCACAUCGUCGGACGGCACCGUGGUCGCCUUCAGGAACUGGUUCAGGAGGUACUGCAAGUUCCAGGUCGGCUGGGCGGCCCCGACGGUCGACCAGCUGCCGGCGACCCCCACCAAGGACAAGCUCAUGGACAGGUACUGGUCGCACGUCGCGCAGUGCACGAGCUGCAGCGCCGCCCUCAAGGCCAUGAAGGCGCUCGAGGUGGCCCUGCAGGUGGCGUCCAUCGCCGUCGUCGGGCUCCUCGCCGUGGCCAAGGGGACGCUGCUCACGUCCGUCGCCCAGCGGGCCGUCGUCGUGUCGGCGGCCGUCCUCUGCUUCGCGGCGUCCCGGUGGCUCGCUGACUUCAUCCAGAAGAACUUCUAUUUUGAGGACUAUGUCCAUGCUUACAAGUGA